GGGUGGGACUUUGCAGCCUCUGGCGCGAACUCCGACGACACAGCAACAGGCUCCAGCGCGAACACCAAAACCACAGCAACAGGCUCCUGCGCGAACACCUACGCCACGGCAGCAGCAGGCUUCGCCGAGGCCAUCUGCGCCACUGCAGCAGGCCUCGCCGAGACCAUCUACGCCACAGCAACAGGCAGCGCGAAGGCCACGUACGUCGCAGCAACAGGGCCCGCGGCUACCGACAUCGCAGCAACAGGGUUUUCAGAGGCCAUUUGCGCCACAGCAACUGGCUCCACCGCUGUCACUGUUGCCUCCGGGACUACUGCAGCCACUGCGGCCACUGCUGCCGGGACUACUGCAGCCACUGCGGCCACUGCUGCCACCAGGACUACUGCAGCCACCGCGGCCACUGUGGACGCAGCCGCCACAGAUGAACCAGGCGACUCAGGGAUCUAACAAUAGCGUGGAACAGCAAAACGGUGAAGGUACUGGAAGCAGAGAACAGCAGAACGGCGAAGGCACCAAAAGCGAAGAACAUCACAACGGUGAAGGCACUGAAAGCGUUGAACAUCAUAACGACGAAGGCGACAUACCCGACACAACUGGUGAAGAAGACGGCGACGUCGGUGGUAGCAGCUCCGGCUAUCACUGGAAUCAAGAUG
rnacentral:lncRNA from 1 species